AGAGUUUGAUCCUGGCUCAGGAUGAACGCUGGCGGUAUGCCUAACACAUGCAAGUCGUACGAGAGUUUUUAACUCUAGUGGCGGACGGGUGAGUAACACGUGAGAAUUUGCCUUUAGGAGGGGGAUAACAAUUGGAAACGAAUGCUAAUACCCCAUAUGCUUUCGAGUGAAAUGGAUUUAUAUUUAUCCGCCUAGAGAGAAGCUCGCGGCUGAUUAGCUUGUUGGUAAGGUAAGAGCUUACCAAGGCGACGAUCAGUAUCUGGUUUGAGAGGACGAUCAGACACACUGGAACUGAGACACUGCCCAGACACCUACGGGUGGCUGCAGUCGAGAAUCUUCGGCAAUGGACGCAAGUCUGACCGAGCGACGCCGCGUGCGGGAUGAAGGCCUUCGGGUUGUAAACCGCUGUCAGAGGGGAUGAAAUCAUAGAAGGCUAUCCUUCUAUGUUGACAAAGCCUCAGAGAAGCACGGCUAAGU
rnacentral:rRNA from 1 species